rnacentral:rRNA from 1 species
UACGAAGGGGGCUAGCGUUGCUCGGAAUCACUGGGCGUAAAGGGCGCGUAGGCGGCCAUUCAAGUCAGGGGUGAAAGCCUGUGGCUCAACCACAGAAUUGCCUUUGAUACUGUUUGGCUAGAGACCGGAAGAGGUAGGUGGAACUGCGAGUGUAGAGGUGAAAUUCGUAGAUAUUCGCAAGAACACCAGUGGCGAAGGCGGCUUACUGGUCCGGUUCUGACGCUGAGGCGCGAAAGCGUGGGGAGCAAACAGG